UCCCUGGUGGUCCAGUGGUUAAGAUUCUAUGCUCCCAAUGCAGUGCACACGGGUUCAAUCCCUGGUCAGGGAA
rfam:Ovis aries breed Texel chromosome 13, whole genome shotgun sequence.